AGUGAACGCUGGCGGCGUGCCUAAUACAUGCAAGUCGAACGAUGAAGUCCUAGCUUGCUAGGAUGGAUUAGUGGCGCACGGGUGAGUAAUAUAUAGUUAAUCUGCCCUACACAGAGGAACAACAGUUGGAAACGACUGCUAAUACCUCAUACUCCUAUUUGACACAAGUUAAAUAGGGAAAGUCUUUUCGGUGUAGGAUGAGACUAUAUCGUAUCAGCUAGUUGGUAAGGUAAUGGCUUACCAAGGCUAUGACGCGUAACUGGUCUGAGAGGAUGAUCAGUCACAUUGGAACUGAGACACGGUCCAAACUCCUACGGGGGGCAGCAGUAAGGAAUAUUGCGCAAUGGGGGAAACACUGACGCAGCAACGCCGCGUGGAGGAUGACACUUUUCGGAGCGUAAACUCCUUUUAUCAGGAAAGAAUAAUGACGGUACCUGAUGAAUAAGCACCGGCUAACUCCGUG
rnacentral:rRNA from 1 species